UAUGGUUCCAGACACAAUUAAAAGGAUCUUGAGGACGAAUAUAAGGGUUGGAGAAGAAUCAAUACGGGAAUGAAAUGGGUACCGGGAACAAAGAUUCAACACACGUUAGGUAUAAAGGAAGAAAGUUCAAGUCAAGCAAAGCAACAAGGGAAUCAAGAUCGAGGUAAAUCUCAAGUUUAGCUUUCAAGCUUCGCCCGGUUCGAGCACACUUCAAGGCCCGUCCCAUAUUCCGCUACUUUUGUAAAGAAGACAAUGUUUAAUACUUUGGUCGCUUUGUUUAUAUCUAGUACUUAAAAACUUAGUUCGUGUUAUGUAUUUUGAACUUAAUGAUUCUCGUAUGUGUGUCAAGGUCGUUUGAUGGUAUAUGUUAUGUCUUUUGAAACGUGUCGUGUUAAACAUAUAUUUUGAAUGUGAAAAACAGGGGACCGAUCAUUU
rnacentral:lncRNA from 1 species